CAGGUCUUGAAUUACAAAAGUUCAACUCGAACAACUCUUAAGAAUCGAAUUUGAAGUAUGGUGGACUCCAUUGAAAGUGUGAAGACCUGACCCAGGCCAUCCGGGAGCCUGACAGAGCCUGGAUGUCACCCUUGGAAUUUUUAAUCGUGCUUAAAACUUGAUCAGAUAGUUUGACAAAUGCUGCGUAGGCCCCUAGAAAGUGGUAAGCCCUCUGCUGGCUCUGAGGAUUAUAAAGAAAGCAGUUAAUGAGAAUUAUGUAAUCCAGAAUGUUUUACAUUUUGCCUUAGCUGCUACCAGGAAGCUCAGAAGUGCUUUUAAUAUAUUGUGGCUAUUAAUCCAGUCUCAUGGUUUUCAAGUUGUCAUCCAGUAAGCCUCAACUUCCUGUGGAGCUGUGUUAGAUGUGUGUGGUGCGCUUCCUUGAAAAUGAGAGCCCCGGAACAGAUAGAGCUCUGGUUUCCGCAGCUUAUGUUUCAACAGAACAGCUCUACUUUACCUGACUUAGAAAUU